GACGGAGGAUGCAAGCGUUAUCCGGAAUGAUUGGGCGUAAAGCGUCCGCAGGUGGCAGUUCAAGUCUGCUGUCAAAGACCGGGGCUUAACUUCGGAAAGGCAGUGGAAACUGAACAGCUAGAGUAUGGUAGGGGCAGAGGGAAUUCCUGGUGUAGCGGUGAAAUGCGUAGAUAUCAGGAGGAACACCGGUGGCGAAGGCGCUCAUCUGGCCCGAUACUGACGCUGAGGCGCGAAAGCUAGGGGAGCAAACGGG
rnacentral:rRNA from 1 species